CCUGCCAGCUGAUUACAGAGGAACGAAUGAGCUCAAAGAAAAUAAAGUGAGCCUGGUGUGGAUUAUCAGAACCUUCUAGUUGAUACGAAUAAUUGGAAAUACAUAGGACAUGGAAAGCUGACUUGACUUCUGCACAUAUUGCAAGCCCAGCUGCAUUUGGUAAGAACUCUUGAAAAGAUGGAACACAAUAACUUGCAGAAAAACAAAAUAAAAAACAAAAAACAACAAAAAUGAGGAGGAGGGGAGCAAACUGGAAGAGGAGGAGGAAGGAAGAAGGGGUAAAGAAAUAGGCCUAAAGAACCAAGAGGAUUGGUAUUUUGAAAGUUCUGUGAAAUUGUUGUGUGAAUUUUAGGGGAAAAAGAAUAUGCUUAUGUGAGUAAACUCUCUUAGUAAACUUGGCCCAGGUUUUAAAACUUUGUAGUAAAUACACUGCAGAAAAUGCCUUCACUACUUUCUACUUUUUUCUGGCAACUUGCUCUUAUCUAAGUUUCUUGUUCACUGCUAUUACUAAUUUAUGAAGCUGAACCAUCAAACAUCCUUGCCUAAUGUAUCUCCAGGGAGGUCUCAUUGUUUUUCAAGUUCACUGUGACACUUUUAACCUCUUACUCAUUAUGUUCUCUUACCCUGUCUUAGUCUUAAAUUUAGUUUAUCAACUAACUCUGUCUAAUCCUUACCUGUUUUGGAUUUAGAGUCCUCCUUAUGAUGCACAUAUUUAAUACUUGAUAAUUUGCAUUGUUCUUUAUUUUGUUUUACCAAAAAUACACCACAUCCAAUAUCCUAUAAUUUCAGCCACUUCAUAAGGCUUUACUAUAUGC